rnacentral:sRNA from 1 species
UAUUAUAUUUUAAUAUGGGGACGAAGUCCCCAAUAACAGUAGAAAAUUCAAUAAAAAAAAAAUUCGGGAAAAUUUCCCGAAUUUUUCAUUGUA